CCUCCUUUAGGUCCCAUGCUCUCAUGCAUAAGAUUCCUCAGCAACACCGCAUCAUUAAGGUCACAACAUAUACUCCACAUAGUAUUGUACCCUUCAUGUUUUUUUGCAAUGGACAGCAAACUUGAAGAAAGCUUUCUAAGGACUUCUUCAUUUUGUUCAUUGGUUCCUAUAUUCAAAUCCUGGUGCCCGCCUUCCACAAAAUCUUUCAGUUUUUGAUAGAGGUAGUCAAGAAGAGAAUCCCUCCUAUUCCAAUACUCUUUUAGUAGUCCUUUAUGUUCUUCUCCACACUCAAGUUUAGCUGCAAUAGCACCAGCAUAUGCCUCAAGAAGAACUUCAGCCAGUACUUCCAGAUGACUAUACAGAUCAGAUUUUAAAGAAUUUUUUAGUCCAGUUGUUUCAUUUAGCAGCUGAAGCAUGAAAGAUGCAACUCUCCACAGCCCAUUCCGCACCACAGUUUUACAACACCAAGGUGUCAGGC
rnacentral:misc_RNA from 1 species